UACGGAGGGGACUAGCGUUGUUCGGAAUUACUGGGCGUAAAGCGCACGUAGGCGGAUUUGUAAGUCAGGGGUGAAAUCCCGGGGCUCAACCUCGGAACUGCCUUUGAUACUGCAAAUCUCGAGUCCGAGAGAGGUGAGUGGAAUUCCUAGUGUAGAGGUGAAAUUCGUAGAUAUUAGGAAGAACACCAGUGGCGAAGGCGGCUCACUGGCUCGGUACUGACGCUGAGGCGCGAAAGCGUGGGGAGCAAACAGG
rnacentral:rRNA from 1 species